rnacentral:rRNA from 1 species
CCUACGGGUGGCUGCAGUGAGGAAUAUUGGUCAAUGGGCGAGAGCCUGAACCAGCCAAGUAGCGUGAAGGAUGACUGCCCUACGGGUUGUAAACUUCUUUUAUAAAGAAAUAAAGUGAGGCACGUGUGCCUUUUUGUCUGUACUUUAUGAAUAAGGAUCGGCUAGCUCCGUGCCAGCAGCCGCGGUAAUACGGAGGCUCCGAGCGUUAUCCGGAUUUAGUGGGAUUAAAGGGAGCGUAGAUGGGUUGUUAAGUCAGUUGUGAAAGUUGGCGGCUGAACCGUAAAACUGCAAUUGAUACUGUCAGUCUUGAGUACAGUAGAGGUAGGCGGAAUUCGUGGUGUAGCGGUGAAAUGCUUAGAGAUCAAGAAGAACACCGAUUGCGAAGGCAGCUUACUAAA